rnacentral:tRNA from 1 species
CAGAAAGUAGUUUAAUAUAAAAUACCAGCUUUGGGAGUUGGUGAUAGAGGUUAAGUCCUUUUUUUCUGA